CAAGAUGAGAUCUCACUGGGAACUUGAUUCCCCUGAAGGGCCGUCGAAGACUACGACGUUGAUAGGCUGGGUGUGUAAGCGUUGUGAGGCGUUGAGCUAACCAGUACUAAUUGCCCGUGAGGCUUGACCAUAUAACACCCAAACA
rnacentral:rRNA from 1 species